AUUUAUAUAGUUUAUUAUAAAACUUUACAUUUUCAUUGUAAAAAUAAAAUUUCAAAUUUUUAUAAAUA
rnacentral:tRNA from 1 species